CUUUGGUGUUUCCCACAGCAUCUUUCGUUCGCAUGUGAUGGCUCUUACCUAGCACAGUGAGACGUGCAGGCCGGGACCGGAUGGCAGCCUGGAUGGCCUGGCACUCAUACACAGCAUCAUCCUGCAGCUCUGCCCGCAGGAUCUUCAGGUGGUGCUCCCCUGACAGAUGGUUCCCCACCACCAGGCCUUGUCCACCACAGCUGUGCAGGCCUGGCCAGAAAUACUCAGAGGGCAGUAGCCUGGCACCCGUGGACCCUGCCUGUGGACACUGCCAUUCCUGCCACCUUCCUGCCCUGCGAUGUCCUGAGGAAGAAGCCCAGGGCCAAGCCGUCUUUGAUCCACAGAACGAAGCCAUCGUAUUCGGGGAUGGCGCAUAGCAGCGUCACCGGCUGUCCCGACACCACCACCUGGUCCUGGGGCUGCUGGCUGAAGGAGUAGGCUUGGCCUAGGAAGGAGACAAGCACAGUGGAUGAGGAAGCAAGGCACCAGGAGGUGAGAAAAAGUAACAGGAGCCCUGCUGAUGUGAAAUGUGAACAAUCCUGGGAUCAUUUUUCAUGACCUCUUGGAGGUGACCUUGAGAGGACAUCACUCCUGGAGAGCCUUUGCUUAUUCCAUGCAUGCUGACUGUGACCUGCCAGGAGGAGGCGCCCUGUUGUCAUGUGAGAAGCAGGGGGCUUGCCCUGGAGGGUGCACUGCACCCCUUAUCAAACCUGGAGGGGACCAAGAUGGAGACUGAUCAGGCACAGAGAGAGCGCUUCAUCCUCCCUCUACAUCUCUCAGACCUGUGCUUUCUUCUCCAUUCUUCCUGCUACAACCCAAGCCGACAACCUCAUUGCCUGGGUUCGUCCAGCAGACUCAGCAGCUUCUAUCACCAUGUCCAGUGGACAUGCAGCCCUGCAGUUUUCUUGUUGAAUCACCACUCCCCUUUGCCAGGGGUGGACCCUUUGUGGCUCCCUACUGCCUGUGGGACAACACUCCACCUCCUGGGUCACAUGCUUUGCACAGACUGACUGGUCCCUGAGGCUUGCACGGCACCCCAGCUGGGUGCCACAGGUGUUACUGUCCCUUGUGCUCUCUGCUCCAUGGUCCUGGGCUGUGUGUGCCCUCCUGCCUGGCCUUGCCUCCCUAAGCAUCCGCUCCCACCACCUGUGGCCAAGAUCUUUUCCCAAGGAACUUCUGGUACUCAGAGGGGUUUUCAUCUCUCUUUCUCUCCUCUUCCCACCUCCCUGUUAUUCCCCUUUUGGACCUUCCUCAAUUUCUCCAAACCUUUAUUGAGCAUUUCCUCCAUGUCUGGUGCUAAAGAAACAAAAAUAAAGAGGAAGCAGCAUGUAGCCUCCCAGAGAGCAGAAGCUGCAGCCAUCUCUUUCCCCAGCAUCCCCAGGGCUUGGCCCAGUGUGUGAACAUCAGAGGCACCUCUGUUAAAGGACCUAUUCUAGAUUGUCCCCUGAAAUCUGUGAUUGCUGUAAGAAAAUUUCUUUUGCAUUAUAAACUACUGACCAGGCAGAUAUUGUGCUGAAUACAUACACAGAAGGAGAGAGGUGAGACAUAAAGGGGAAGGGCCAGAGUCUCGAGGACCCUGGCUUUAUAGGAGGAAAAAGUCACUGAGCCAUUCAUGGGAGGCCUGCGGGAUGUCAGGGCUGGGCCCGUGAAUGUACACACUGCACGAGCAGCUUGUGUCAGUCAUUCGUGUCCACAUUUUAUAGGUGAACUAAAUGCUACAACUUUGGUUCCCCAAAGGCCCUGACUUAACUCGGUUUGACAAGAUUUUUGACUGUACCAUAGUGUAAAAGAGACACACAUGCAGUAGAAACUGCACCAUGACUUUACAUUUGGAACUUUUCUUGGGCUAGCAAUGUAGGGCCCAAUCCUCUUUUGUGACCCUGGGCAGUGGUAGUAAGCCACAGCUACAGGUAGCCAUACAAUCACAAGGGGAAACAACUGAGACACGGGAGUGCUGUGGUGCUAAGCUUCGCUGUUUGGCCUGUUAGGGGGAUCACAUGCAUUUCCAGUUUAAGAUAUUUCCAUCAGGGGUUUAUUGAGAUGCAACCCCACUGUAAGUGGAAACAUCUCUACAAUAAAUAAUAUUUUAGUGUCCUAAGAUUUAUAAUAGUUAACUUGUACUGAAU